rnacentral:rRNA from 1 species
CCUACGGGAGGCAGCAGUGAGGAAUAUUGGUCAAUGGACGAGAGUCUGAACCAGCCAAGUAGCGUGAAGGAUGAAUGCCCUAUGGGUUGUAAACUUCUUUUAUAUGGGAAUAAAACGUUCCACGUGUGGGAUUUUGUAUGUACCAUAUGAAUAAGGAUCGGCUAACUCCGUGCCAGCAGCCGCGGUAAUACGGAGGAUCCGAGCGUUAUCCGGAUUUAUUGGGUUUAAAGGGAGCGUAGGUGGAUUGUUAAGUCAGUUGUGAAAGUUUGCGGCUCAACCGUAAAAUUGCAGUUGAAACUGGCAGUCUUGAGUACAGUAGAGGUGGGCGGAAUUCGUGGUGUAGCGGUGAAAUGCUUAGAUAUCACGAAGAACUCCGAUUGCGAAGGAAGUUCACUGGACUGCAACUGACACUGAGGCUCGAAAGUGUGGGUAUCAAACAGGAUUAGAUACCCCAGUAGUC